rnacentral:rRNA from 1 species
UAGGAGUCGGACCUGCCCAGUGAAUAUUUCAACGGCCGCGGUACUCUGACCGUGCAAAGGUAGCAUAAUCAUUUGCCUUAUAAUUGAAGGCUUGUAUGAAUGGUUUGACAAGAAUAAAGCUGUCUCUUUACAAAUAAGUAUAAUUUUAUUUACAGGUGAAGAAGCCUGUAUUAUAUUGAAAGACAAGAAGACCCUAUCGAGCUUUAAAUAAAUUAAUAAAAAGUAAAUUGUAUUUAUAUUGAGUUAGUUAUUAAAAAUUUUAGUUGGGGCGACUAAGGAACAAUCAAAGCUUCCUAAAAAAUUUUAAGUGCUUUCAAGUUGUGAUCCAAAAAUUUUGAUUAAAGGAAUUAGUUACCGUAGGGAUAACAGCAUUAUCUUUUUUAAGAGUUCAAAUCGAAAAAAAGGUUUGUGACCUCGAUGUUGGACCAGAAUAUCCUGAAGAUGCAGCCGUCUUCAAGGGUUGGUCUGUUCGACCAUUAAAAUUCUACGUGAUCUGAGUUCAGACCGGCGUGAGCCAGGUCAGUUUCUAUCUUCAAUUUUUAAUGUGGACCUAGUACGAAAGGAUUGGUCUAUAAUAAUAAUUGUUUUUCCUGAUGUAGUAUAAAAACUUAUUAAGUUAUUAGGUAGAAGAGAUCAAAUUAGCAAAGAUAAUGCAAUUGACUUAGGAUCAAUAGACAUAGGUGAAAUUCCUUUAUUUGAUAUAAAUAUAAAGGUGGCAGAUUAA